GGGGCAUGGUGAAUUUUAACUUGCCAAACCUCUCUUCAUUGUGCUCAUUACGCCUACGAUUUCUUCGGUGACGACGAUCAUCAUAAUGGGGCUGUUCAUCCUCUUCUUCUUCAUCUUCAUGGUGACUGUCAUUUGCAUUAUCACGAGGAUGAAUUUGCAACCGGUUCAUGAGUGCUUGAACAUUGUUUGUUAGCGUCUCCAUGCUUUGUUUCAUCUCAUCGAAUUGUGCCAUGGUGACACAAUCAUCAAUCUCCGGAUGCUCAGACAUCUUGCUGUAAAAAAUUAGUGAAGGCAAAGCAACAAUAUAUGUAGAAUAGGGAAUUAUAUGUGGAAUCUCACAAUCUCACCUCUCUUACCAACCGAAGCUCAUGUGAGUUCCCCGCAGAUUACAACGGCCAAUGCGAGGUGGUAACCGAGAAUGAUAGUUGGGAGAAUCCAAGAUCAGUAUUUUCCUAUGACAGUGGGUUAUUUGUGGAGCUUGGUGGGGAUAUAUUUCACAAGGAAUGCAGUCUGAAUUCUUGAUAUUGUAAAGUUAAACCACAAUCCAAACUAGAAGUUCAAUGCCUAGUGCUGACCACAAGAUAUGAGUGAUGUAAAUAGAUCAAACACACGCGCAAAGAUAAUUCAGAUUUGAUGCAAACAAGGAGUAUGCCUAGGAUGCAAGUGUUGCAAUCAAACCCAAGCAAAAUUUUACACCAAAGAUGGAUAAUGACUGAUUGUGUGACUUGAUAUAAAAUUCAGAACUUGAGCACAUAAACAGAGUGAAUUUUCUGCUCUUUCUUCACAACUUUUCUUCCUCAACUCUCUUUUUUUCACUUUCCUUUUUUUUUGAUACUUUGUUUUUUUUUUUGAAACAAGACAAAACCAUCAACGUUCUAACUUGAUAGGCUCAAAGUUUACGCGAAGGAUGAUACCGGUUUCAGAUUUUCUUUAGGGAUUUGUAGAUAUAAAAGAGGCACAAAGGACACACAAAGGAUAUGAUGAUCAGCAACUAAACAAAACUCUAAUGGACUGAAACUUAACCAAACUCACAAGAAAAACAGAUUGAAACAAAGGGCUAAUGCAAUUUUUUUAUGGCUUUUUGGUGGAUAGGACGAACAAGAUAUAUAUAUGUAGCUAAGGGUAAAAAUCCUACCAUGGAAACUUGAGCUUUGAUACCAGAUGGUGAGGUCGAUUUCCCGAUCUUCACGACGUAGGAUAACUAGCUGGAGAUCAACCGAUAACUUGCUGCAAGCAGCGAGGAUAACUAGUGCAACCUGACGACACGCACAAGGAGCCAACCACCGUCUCUAUACGGCAGCCUGAACCAAGGAUUCGCCCAACCACACUCUCAAAGAACCAACCUACGCAACCUGAACUCGAGGAUCAGGAGCACGGACUGGGUGCCGAUGACGCGGCCGCUUCUGUAAUCUCCGCGAAGGAAAACACAAGAGCAAAGGGGUAGAGAUCUCUCUCUCUCUGAAUUUGUUAGCACACAGCUGAACAAAGUGGUUUGUAUUCUCAAUAUCAUAAGUCUUGGAUUACAAUGAGUCUUAGGGGGUAUUUAUACUAGCAACAGCCCUGCUAGAUAGGUAUGAAAAUGAAAUAGAGUUUCUGAGGGAAGGCA
rnacentral:lncRNA from 1 species